GGCAAGUACAAAUGGAGUCAGGCAGACAAGUGUCAAACCAGAAGAUCAAUCAGAAAGGGGUACAGAAACAGCGGAGUCGAUAAUCAGGCAAGGGUCAGGAUUCAGAAGUCGGUAUCGACAGUAGCAGGCAGGGGUCACAACAGAGAAUCAGUUUACAAAAGCUAAACAACACAGAGGCACCAGGAAACUCAGGAACAAGAUCUUAUAACCGGCAAGGCAAAAUAUGUUUUGUGGCUUUAAAUAAUUUUGAAUUUCGCGCACUGACGUCAUCACAUCAGCGCGCAUGCGUCAAUAAACCAGGAAGUAGCGCACCGCGCGCGCCUUAACAAAUAUUACCAGAGGAGCGGCAGUGGUCACUAAACCACCAGGAACUCUCACCUUGGACCUCUCACUUUAUGACCUGGGAGCAUCCGAGUAGCAGAGGGCUCCUCCCAAAGCGAAAGGCAGCUGUUACAGGUAGAACAUGAGCCAUUGCCAGAAUCUUGGAGUUUGGAUUUUGGGACACCAUAUGUUACAAUAUUCUGUUCAGCUGUGGGUCUAGCACUCUCGCCCACCCUCCCAUCCUCUCUGAUCUAGCAAAUUGUUUUCCUUUACCUGUUUGAUCCACCUCCGGUGUGCUGUCACUUCCAAGACAUCUGCAACCCAUAGAAGCCUGACUCAAAAUAAAAAAAAAACAAUAGAAGAAUAAAAAUAAAGAUCAAAUUAA